rnacentral:rRNA from 1 species
CCGAGAUGAGUUCUCCCUGACUCCUUGAGGGUCCUGAAGGAACGUUGAAGACGACGACGUUGAUAGGCCGGGUGUGUAAGCGCAGCGAUGCGUUGAGCUAACCGGUACUAAUGAACCGUGAGGCUUAACCUUACAACGCCGAAG